ACCCAGCUGACGAGUCUCAAACAGGACGAAACGCGCAUCCUGGAU
rnacentral:hammerhead_ribozyme from 1 species